UACGUAGGGGGCAAGCGUUGUCCGGAAUCAUUGGGCGUAAAGAGCGUGUAGGCGGUCCGAUAAGUCCGCUCUGAAAGCCCGGGCUCAACCCCGGGAGGCGGGCGGAUACUGUCGGGCUAGAGUCCGGAAGAGGCAAGUGGAAUUCCUGGUGUAGCGGUGAAAUGCGCAGAUAUCAGGAGGAACACCGAUGGCGAAGGCAGCUUGCUGGGACGGUACUGACGCUGAGACGCGAAAGCGUGGGGAGCAAACAGG
rnacentral:rRNA from 1 species